AUUGAACGCUGGCGGCAGGCCUAACACAUGCAAGUCGAACGAGUGGCGGACGGGUGAGUAAUGUCUGGGAAACUGCCUGAUGGCGGGGGAUAACUACUGGAAACGGUAGCUAAUACCGCAUACCAUCGGAUGUGCCCAGAUGGGAUUAGCUAGUAGGUGGGUUAACGGCUAACCUAGGCCACGAUCCAUAGCUGGUCUGAGAGGAUGAUCAGCCACACUGGAACUGAGACACGGUCCAGACUCCUACGGGAGGCAGCAGUGGGGAAUAUUCCACAAUGGGCGAAAGCCUGAUGCAGCCAUGCCGCGUGUGUGAAGAAGGCCUUCGGGUUGUAAAGCACUUUCAGCGGGGAGGCGUUACCCGAAGAGGAAGCACCGGCUAACUCCGUGCCAGCAGCCGCGGUAAUAC
rnacentral:rRNA from 1 species